rnacentral:piRNA from 1 species
UUCUUAGGUGUUGCCUUAGAGCAGGAA